ensembl:lncRNA
GAACUGCCUUACCUGUGCUCCCACAGCUGACUCAGUCCUUGCCUCAGGUUUCAAGACUGGGUCAGCACACUACAGUACCUGUCCGCUGCUCUGUCCUCACUGUGCUUUUCUCCUGUUGCAGCAUGGAUCCUCUCCACAGACCUCAGCUCUUUCCUCAACCCAUGGCUCCAUAAGGAAAACCAGCAAGGGCUCCUCACUUCAGGCUGCACCUUCUGUCAGGGACCCACUCCCUGUCAGCUUCUCAGGAUUUUCACUGGAGGGAUGGCAAUGUGUGGUACAACCAAGCUCUGGAAAUAGCGCAAGCAAGGUUGACUGUUCAAUGAACGCUCUUCGCCAUGUCCUUCAGGCUAUGGUGUCCAGCAGGGAAAUGCAGGGAAGCUACUGGCAUGUGGAGACUAUGAAAAUAUAAGAAAUAUUUAUAAUAAUUAUUACUUCAACUGCAACAUUCUUUUGGCAUAUAUAGUCUAGCAAAUUAAUUCUUCUGUUUGGCUGUUAAUUGGAAUUAAUGUUCUUGUUGUGAAACCUCAAACAUUCUCAUUUUAUCAGCAGCAACUCAGAUUAAUACUACAAAAACUAAGAUAUUCUUUGCAAAGUUCCAUGCUUGACAAAUUAAUCAAGAAAAGAGCUUUCUAUUAUUAGUGUUCUGUUUCUUGAACAGUCAUUAGCUAAACAUACUUCAUAUUUACAUAUCUGAAGUGAAGCAGGAAAGGAUGAAGUUACAAAAUUUAUUUCUGUUCCAAAAAUUAUACUGCAAAUAGGAAAUAAUUGAAUUAAAAUUUGUGUCAAACUCAUUGUAAAUAAUAAUUUAAAAACUAAUGCAGGAUGUCUCAAGAUUAAAAUCACCCAAUAAAAGAGGAAGAGAAGCAACAGAAUGAAUAUAUUGGCAAAGGUGGAUCCAUAAAAAAGGAUCUCAAGCAUCAUGUCAGAAAGUAAAUUCUCCACCCAGGGAGCACCAGGAUGGGCUAACACCCAUUGUGGAGGUACUGAUAUAUUUGUACUCUCAGGAGGAGUGGGGCCAUGAUGGCUGCAGAAACACCUGAGUCAGACAGCAGAAAAUGACACACAAAAACACUUGUUUUGCUCUUUUCCUCUCCAAUUCUGUCUCUGAAGACCUGAGCUUGUGCAUCUCUUUGCAACAGGAAUUGCUUCCUGAAUUUAUAUUCUUGAAUUUCCUCUUACUAUACCAUUUAUCAGCUUCAUAUGGAUGCUAAUAUGAUGAAAGCAGUUCUCCAGCUACAGGAACAAUAGAAGACAGAAAAUAUGUUUAAUAGAAACGGUCAAGGUGCUCAAGCUGGUUUACUAAUCAAAGAGAAUGCUACAGCAGUAUGAUCUUGACAGUGAGAUGAGUAAGUACAAAGUGCUUUAACACAAGCAGGUUUAGACUUUGCCUGAAAGAAGGAAAACAUAACUCAGAGAAGUUCUAUAUCCUGUGCUGUAGAGGAUCAUCACAACUGCUUUACAUUAUCUGCCCUUUAUACAGUAUGAAUCACUGUAAUGUGUGAAUACUUUAUUUCCCUCAUGGUUUGGGAAUUGACAGGAUGUGCACAUUUGCCCUUGGGUUUGUUAUUUCAUACCACUGCCUACCAUUUGCAUGUACAUUUUCAUUUUAUUUGCUCUUGUCAGUUCUUUACACAGGAUACAAGUCUAUCUGAAGGAAUGCAAAAUGGCGGCCUGGCCAAUUCUAAAGUGAACCGUGUUGUGAUACCAGCUAAAUAAUGCAUGAAUGGAUCUGUGCUAGCCAUAAUUCACUUCCAGUGCUAUUCAUUUCUUUAUCAUAUGUCAGUUCCCUUUCCUGUCAGGAUAUCAAACGGCUGCAAAGUGCAGUGUGCUGUUCUCCUUAUCUUUGAGCUAAAUGUUUUAUUAUAUCACAUUUUAGGCUUUUUAAGAUCUCCUAAUGAAGCACACAUAAAGUCGAAAGUGAUCUUGAAUAGUAUAUUCGUGAUGCAAUAUGUUAAAAAAUGAUACAGCACCAGGCCUGAGCAUUAUGCCACAGCUGUUGGCAGUAAGGAGUAUGACUUAAAUCAUUCAUCCAUUAGAAUCGUAGGUACUUUGCCACUGCUUUCCUGUGAGAUUUUGGAGACAUUUAGAUAUACAUCUACAAACAUAUAUAAAUACAUCAAUUUGUAGAUAUCUUGAGAUCUAAGAACUUGAUUGGGGUGAGAGAAGUGUGCAACUCAGGGGUUCAGCACUAAAAAAGUGUUUUCUGGCUUAAGCCACCAUGCAUGCUUGCUGUAAAUCUUUUGGUCUUAACCUUUGAAUUUUUACAGUGUGAGCACAUUAAUCUCUUUCUCUUACAAUAUUCUUCCUUCAGUGGGAAAUGCCACUUUGAAGACGUUGUAUACUCAUUGUUCUUUUGUAUUACAACAUAGGAGCUGAAACUAUUUUUGAAUCAAAAUGGCUAAUGUGGUAUUAAUAUAUGAAAGAAUCUAAUUCUUUACUUUUGUGGAAAGGGUGGAAUAAGAAAUGGAUUGGCUAUCUAACAUGCGUCCCUAAAACAUGUAUUUGAGUUGCCAGUUUAACAACUUUGUUUUUAUAUUUCAUAUUUCAACUAACACUGGCUUAUUUAUUGUAGCAUUGUU